AUUGAACGCUGGCGGCAGGCUUAACACAUGCAAGUCGAGCGGAGAUGAGGUGCUUGCACCUUAUCUUAGCGGCGGACGGGUGAGUAAUGCUUAGGAAUCUGCCUAUUAGUGGGGGACAACAUUCCGAAAGGAAUGCUAAUACCGAAUACGUCCUACGGGAGAAAGCAGGGGAUCUUCGGACCUUGCGCUAAUAGAUGAGCCUAAGUCGGAUUAGCUAGUUGGUGGGGUAAAGGCCUACCAAGGCGUCGAUCUGUAGCGGGUCUGAGAGGAUGAUCCGCCAAACUGGGACUGAGACACGGCCCAGACUCCUACGGGAGGCAGCAGUGGGGAAUAUUGGACAAUGGGGGGAACCCUGAUCCAGCCAUGCCGCGUGUGUGAAGAAGGCCUUAUGGUUGUAAAGCACUUUAAGCGAGGAGGAGGCUACUGAGACUAAUACUCUUGGAUAGUGGACGUUACUCGCAGAAUAAGCACCGGCUAACUCUGUGCCAGCAGCCGCCGUAACAC
rnacentral:rRNA from 1 species